rnacentral:lncRNA from 1 species
UGGAUUGUUCGUUUCUAUGUCGUGCGGUUGAUCGCAACGGUUGAUCGCAAUUGUCGCUACGUCGUUCGUUUCAGUGUCGCUUGCGACCAGAUCUUUACAUUUAAAUUAUUUAUUUAGUUUUUGACAAAAAUAUGAUUACAGUUAUUUCUGUUUUUUUCAUUUCGUUUUUAUUUAUUCAGUUUUUAUUUUUAAUUUAUACAUAUCUCGUAAAUAAACCCAUAUUAAUAAACUAAAUAUAAACUCAAAUUUAAAAACUAAAAAUCAAAUGCUAAUGAGGUACUUUUCUCUUGCCACACCUAAUGACCAUGUCAACAGAUCCCAGUAAGAAACUUACAAUAUACAAAGGUGAUUCUUGUUGUGAUUUAUACACUUAAUGACCACUGCAUAAGACACUUACAAUAUCAUUAUUAGCCAUUCUUCUUGUCUAGUUGUUGUCUUGUCGUGAUUUAUGUCCGAAACCUGAAAAGAUAAUACAAACGAAAGUGAAUCAAAGGUGAAGAGCUAAUAAUGUACAAACACAUUCUAAGCCAAUAAUAGAUAGUGUCAUUAAGAAAGCAAAACUGAAACAUAACUCUAAUGAAAUUGAAACUGAAACAUAUGUGAAUGAACAAAUCCACAUGCCAACCACGUUCUUUAGAAUCAGACAGUAAUACCAUUUAUCUACUUGUUUCAACCAAAGCAAUAUUAAGACAUGAUCAAAGACUUUUAAGAAUUUAAAUCGAAAACCCAUCUCUGCAAAACAUAUUAUAAUCCCAAAAACCCAAAACAUAUUACAAUCUCAAAAACUUAGAUGAUCAAAACAUAUUAUAAUCCCAAAACCCAAAACAAUGCAAUUUUCUUACAGGUACAACAAUAAGACAACGUUUUGAAACAUGCCUAUCUCACUGAUUUUAGUACUAGCUAUAAAUUCUCCUAAAUCUCUCAAGUGAAAGGUCGAGAUCGAUUGUACCUGAGUUCGAAUCAGAAUCAGAGAGAGAACUGCUUGAAAGUUGAAAAAAAAAGAUUUACUUCCAAUCAGAGUCAGAAAGAGAGAGAAAGAGAACUGACAUUUGAGCUUUGAUGGUAGCCUCCGUGAGAGAACUGAGGAGGAGCGAUGAUGAAGAAAGACGUAAACAGAUUUAGAGUUAAAUUAUGUGUCUUUCUUCCCGAGUCGUUAUUAUGUUAUGAAUUGUGAUUAUUACCC